rnacentral:rRNA from 1 species
GAUGAACGCUGGCGGCGUGCCUAAUACAUGCAAGUCGAACGAAACUUCUUUAUCACCGAGUGCUUGCACUCACCGAUAAAGAGUUGAGUGGCGAACGGGUGAGUAACACGUGGGCAACCUGCCCAAAAGAGGGGGAUAACACUUGGAAACAGGUGCUAAUACCGCAUAACCAUAGUUACCGCAUGGUAACUAUGUAAAAGGUGGCUAUACUACCGCUUUUGGAUGGGCCCGCGGCGCAUUAGCUAGUUGGUAGGGUAAAGGCCUACCAAGGCAAUGAUGCGUAGCCGAAUUGAGAGGUUGAUCGGCCACAUUGGGACUGAGACACGGCCCAAACUCCUACGGGAGGCAGCAGUAGGGAAUCUUCCACAAUGGGCGAAAGCCUGAUGGAGCAACGCCGCGUGGGUGAAGAAGGUCUUCGGAUCGUAAAACCCUGUUGUUAGAGAAGAAAGUGCGUGAGAGUAACUGUUCACGUUUCGACGGUAUCUAACCGGAAAGCCACGGCUAACUACGUG